UUAAGCGACUAAGCGUACACGGUGGAUGCCCUGGCAGUCAGAGGCGAUGAAGGGCGUGCUAAUCUGCGAUAAGCGCCGGUAAGGUGAUAUGAACCGUUAUAACCGGCGAUACCCGAAUGGGGAAACCCAGUGUGAUUCGUCACACUAUCAUUAACUGAAUCCAUAGGUUAAUGAGGCGAACCGGGGGAACUGAAACAUCUAAGUACCCCGAGGAAAAGAAAUCAACCGAGAUUCCCCCAGUAGCGGCGAGCGAACGGGGAGGAGCCCAGAGCCUGAAUCAGCAUGUGUGUUAGUGGAAGCGUCUGGAAAGGCGCGCGAUACAGGGUGACAGCCCCGUACACAAAAGCGCAUGUGCUGUGAGCUCGAUGAGUAGGGCGGGACACGUGGUAUCCUGUCUGAAUAUGGGGGGACCAUCCUCCAAGGCUAAAUACUCCUGACUGACCGAUAGUGAACCAGUACCGUGAGGGAAAGGCGAAAAGAACCCCGGCGAGGGGAGUGAAAAAGAACCUGAAACCGUGUACGUACAAGCAGUGGGAGCCCCACCACUAAGCCAGUGGUGAACUCCACAUCCGCAUCCUUUGCUGAGGAUACGGUUAACGGAGCGAAAGCGACGUUCAACCGCAAAACAAGCAGAGGGGGCUUAGUGGUGGGGUGACUGCGUACCUUUUGUAUAAUGGGUCAGCGACUUAUAUUCUGUAGCAAGGUUAACCGAAUAGGGGAGCCGGAGGGAAACCGAGUCUUAAUUGGGCGUUAAGUUGCAGGGUAUAGACCCGAAACCCGGUGAUCUAGCCAUGGGCAGGUUGAAGGUUGGGUAACACUAACUGGAGGACCGAACCGACUAAUGUUGAAAAAUUAGCGGAUGACCUGUGGCUGGGGGUGAAAGGCCAAUCAAACCGGGAGAUAGCUGGUUCUCCCCGAAAGCUAUUUAGGUAGCGCCUCGUGAAUUCAUCUCCGGGGGUAGAGCACUGUUUCGGCUAGGGGGCCAUCCCGGCUUACCAACCCGAUGCAAACUGCGAAUACCGGAGAAUGUUAUCACGGGAGACACACGGCGGGUGCUAACGUCCGUCGUGAAGAGGGAAACAACCCAGACCGCCAGCUAAGGUCCCAAAGUCAUGGUUAAGUGGGAAACGAUGUGGGAAGGCCCAGACAGCCAGGAUGUUGGCUUAGAAGCAGCCAUCAUUUAAAGAAAGCGUAAUAGCUCACUGGUCGAGUCGGCCUGCGCGGAAGAUGUAACGGGGCUAAACCAUGCACCGAAGCUGCGGCAGCGAACGUAUCACCCAAGACAACUUUACGGAGUUGACGAUUGACGGAGCGAAGCGACGUCAAAGCGUUCAUUAAAGUCGAGUUGGCUUAGGGAUACGUUCGUUGGGUAGGGGAGCGUUCUGUAAGCCUGUGAAGGUGUGUCGUGAGGCAUGCUGGAGGUAUCAGAAGUGCGAAUGCUGACAUAAGUAACGAUAAAGCGGGUGAAAAGCCCGCUCGCCGGAAGACCAAGGGUUCCUGUCCAACGUUAAUCGGGGCAGGGUGAGUCGACCCCUAAGGCGAGGCCGAAAGGCGUAGUCGAUGGGAAACGGGUUAAUAUUCCCGUACUUGGUGUUACUGCGAAGGGGGGACGGAGAAGGCUAUGUUGGCCGGGCGACGGUUGUCCCGGUUUAAGCGUGUAGGUGUGUGUUCCAGGUAAAUCCGGUUCACUUUAACACUGAGGCGUGACGACGAGGCACUACGGUGCUGAAGCAACAAAUGCCCUGCUUCCAGGAAAAGCCUCUAAGCAUCAGGUAACAUCAAAUCGUACCCCAAACCGACACAGGUGGUCAGGUAGAGAAUACCAAGGCGCUUGAGAGAACUCGGGUGAAGGAACUAGGCAAAAUGGUGCCGUAACUUCGGGAGAAGGCACGCUGACACGUAGGUGAAGUGAUUUACUCAUGGAGCUGAAGUCAGUCGAAGAUACCAGCUGGCUGCAACUGUUUAUUAAAAACACAGCACUGUGCAAACACGAAAGUGGACGUAUACGGUGUGACGCCUGCCCGGUGCCGGAAGGUUAAUUGAUGGGGUCAGCGCAAGCGAAGCUCCUGAUCGAAGCCCCGGUAAACGGCGGCCGUAACUAUAACGGUCCUAAGGUAGCGAAAUUCCUUGUCGGGUAAGUUCCGACCUGCACGAAUGGCGUAAUGAUGGCCAGGCUGUCUCCACCCGAGACUCAGUGAAAUUGAACUCGCUGUGAAGAUGCAGUGUACCCGCGGCAAGACGGAAAGACCCCGUGAACCUUUACUAUAGCUUGACACUGAACAUUGAGCCUUGAUGUGUAGGAUAGGUGGGAGGCUUUGAAGUGUGGACGCCAGUCUGCAUGGAGCCGACCUUGAAAUACCACCCUUUAAUGUUUGAUGUUCUAACGUGGACCCGUAAUCCGGGUUGCGGACAGUGUCUGGUGGGUAGUUUGACUGGGGCGGUCUCCUCCUAAAGAGUAACGGAGGAGCACGAAGGUUGGCUAAUCCUGGUCGGACAUCAGGAGGUUAGUGCAAUGGCAUAAGCCAGCUUGACUGCGAGCGUGACGGCGCGAGCAGGUGCGAAAGCAGGUCAUAGUGAUCCGGUGGUUCUGAAUGGAAGGGCCAUCGCUCAACGGAUAAAAGGUACUCCGGGGAUAACAGGCUGAUACCGCCCAAGAGUUCAUAUCGACGGCGGUGUUUGGCACCUCGAUGUCGGCUCAUCACAUCCUGGGGCUGAAGUAGGUCCCAAGGGUAUGGCUGUUCGCCAUUUAAAGUGGUACGCGAGCUGGGUUUAGAACGUCGUGAGACAGUUCGGUCCCUAUCUGCCGUGGGCGCUGGAGAACUGAGGGGGGCUGCUCCUAGUACGAGAGGACCGGAGUGGACGCAUCACUGGUGUUCGGGUUGUCAUGCCAAUGGCACUGCCCGGUAGCUAAAUGCGGAAGAGAUAAGUGCUGAAAGCAUCUAAGCACGAAACUUGCCCCGAGAUGAGUUCUCCCUGAGACUUAGAGUCUCCUGAAGGAACGUUGAAGACGACGACGUUGAUAGGCCGGGUGUGUAAGCGCAGCGAUGCGUUGAGCUAACCGGUACUAAUGAACCGUGAGGCUUAACCUU
rnacentral:rRNA from 2 species